rnacentral:misc_RNA from 1 species
GAAAUGCGAUAAGUAAUGUGAAUUGCUGAAUUCAGUGAAUCAUCGAAUCUUUGAACGCACAUUGCGCCCGCCAGCAUUCUGGCGGGCAUGCCUGUUCGAGCGUCAUUUCAACCCUCGAGCCCCCCCGGGGGCCUCGGUGUUGGGGGACGGCACACCAGCCGCCCCCGAAAUGCAGUGGCGACCCCGCCGCAGCCUCCCCUGCGUAGUAGCACACACCUCGCACCGGAGCGCGGAGGCGGUCACGCCGUAAAACGCCCAACUUUCUUAGAGUUGACCUCGGAUCAGGUAGGAAUACCCGCUGAACUUAAGC